UGUUAUUUGGUCCACCAGGUUACUGAUAUGCUUGUUUACAGUGCAUUAAUGUUAGGGAAGAAUAUUUUGUCAACAAAAUAGUGGGUGUUUACUUUUUUAGAAGUUAAUGACAUAUUAUUAAUAUUCUUAUAGCAGAAAUAAGAAGGAUAAAAAGAGAGAAAAAGAAAGGGACCACAUCAGUGAAAGAAGAGAGAGAGAACGUUCAGCCUCUACAAGAAAGAGUUCUAAUGACAGAGAUGGGAAGGAAAAGGUGGAGAAGAACAGUACUUCACUUAAAGAGAAGGAGCACAAUAAAGAACCGGAUUUAAGUGUGGGAAAAGAAGUAGAUGACAAGGAUGCACCAAGGACUGAGGAAAACAAAGUACAGCAAAAUGGGAGUUGUCAACCAAAUGAAGAAAACCUCUCUACCAAAACAGAAGCAGUAUAGGACCUACAAAUGCACCUCUAAACCCACGCUGGAAUAGAAUCCAAAGCUUUUAAUUCUCUCAACAAGAUGUUAAACAGUGAAGAAAUCCAGUAGAGCAUAAAGAUAUGAGCUAACAGCUUUUUUAGUUGUUAGGUGACUUUGUGGCCAUCUUGUUACUGAGUAAGAAAAUAAAGCAUGGACAUCGUGAAAAUAACAGGUGUUACCCAAACUCCUCAUCUUCUAAAAGCUGUGCAUUUCCAUGGUGGCUGACACACUUGUCAUGUGGUUUGUUAAGUGUUUGCCAAGAACCAUUAAAAUAAAUGGGACAUUAAAGAUAGAAAUUUGUACUAUCCAUUAAAGACUGGAGAUAAGCAUUGGAGGCUCUUUUAAAAAAUGCUAGUAACUGAUUUUGUAUUGUUUUACUUUUUUUUAAAAAUUUCAAUAUAUUACAGAUUGAUGAUGUGCUUGAAAUUGGUGCAAAUAUAUACACACCCUUGUAAGUGCGGAGUAUGUAAGAAAUUUUAACAUUGACUUCACAGGAUUUACAGUGAUUGUGUUAAAUUCUCACUAUUGUGUUUUCUUUUGCUCAUUGUUUAGGACAGCAGUUUUUCUUUAAAAUAGUUUUACAUAUUAAAGUUGCUUAAAUAAGUGGAUUAAAAACCAACUGACAAUGCAUGCUACUGUUCUUUUUCAAAAGGAAGAACAACUGUGUUGAAUACUAAUAAUAUAUUAGUAUUCAGUGUUCAGAAUCAUUGGGUUUCCCCACAAAGUAAGCAUUUCUUUUUGAACUCUCUUGACAUUUCCAAGCUUAUUAUGAACAGUAUUGCAGUGUGUGUUGUCAGUUGUAGGUGGCAAAGGUGCCAUUUAUAAAAAGAAACCUGGGUUUUCAAAAUGGGCUAUGGGAGCACAAGCUGAAGCUUUAGUGCCUUCUACAACGUGGUAUACUGUUUUCUAGAAUUUUAUAUGGACUAGUCAUUCUCAAUUCAUAUGGAAUUUAGAUGGAUAUUCCAUUCCCUUCCAUAGAGAAGUGUGAAAGUGGUAUGUCAGAAGAGCUUCUUACUUGGUUCACCUAAUAUGAGAGGGAAGUCUGUUUUUAAGAAUGACUUUAGAGCUUAAAACAGCAAUGCAGUUUUGGGACCAUCAGUUUCAUACUGUGAUAAUUGAAAAUGAAGCAGCAUGUUCUUAUUUUACUUAAAGCAAAACCCUUUAGUUGUCUAUAUUAGAUGGCCUUAAUUAUUACCUCUCAAUCAUCUUCUCAUAAAUGAUGUGCAGAAAUUGUACUUAAAGGAGAACAUAUGAGUUUGUCUUAUGUGUAAGGAUAUGUUUACUUAAGCUUAAAAUAUAGGUCAUCCGACAUUGUUAGGCACACUUUUUGCAGAAAGUAUGCAAGUAGUAAAAUGACAACAUUGCUAAUAUUUUCCCCCAGACCACAACUCAUAGUUUCAGAACUCUUUUCAUUGUUGUAUUUCCAAAAGUUAUACCUUUUAAUUAGCAUGUUAUUAAAAAAAUCAAGUAUAAUUAGUUUAAUGCAGUCUAAUACAAUCAAAUUACUCAGUUGCCUUACCUCAUGGGAAGAGUUACUUAUAGAUUUAAAAAGCUAAGUAGCACAUCAGUUACUUGGUUUCAACUUGAGUUUUCUUUUAACGUUAAUACUAUUGAAAUUUAAGUAUUUGGUGGAGAAUGGAAAGAAUUGCCCUUAUUGCAAGCAAUGAAGCCUGGUUUGAUUAUGAAGCUGCUUAAUUACUCCUCAUGUGUUCAGAAUUACUGUGUUUUUUUUUUUUUUUUUUUUCUUUUUUUCACUGUGUACAUUAAAAUUUUUGAAAAUGCUUUACUAUGUAAAGUAUAGAUGGUCAUUUUAAUCAAUCAACCACAUACGGUUGGCUGGUAAACAGCUUAUUUUGAUAUAAGAAUGCUUGGGUGUAUAUGGAAAGAUUGUGAAGGAGUGUGUGUGUCUUGCAUCAAAGCUUCUUAUUUAUGAUAUGUAAGUAGAAUAGAGCAAAUGUUGUUUGAAUCUUUGUUAUUUGUAGUACUGUUUCUCUAAUAAAGCUAAGUAUUUUAGAGGAAAGUAUUUGUUCAUGCAUUUCAAAACAGCAUCUUAGGUUUAUCCUGUUCUUGUUUUAGCUGGCAUAGAAAUUGUUUUGAUAUGGAGAGUGCAUGUUUGUGUGGUGUCUAAAGCCAUCAUUUAAAGUUUGAGUAUUUUUUUGUACUCUGGACUCUAUUAAAUGUUUUUUAUGUUGGUAAUUAACAUAGUUAUUUGGUUCCUGCUGCCAGUUAUUUUUCUUGAUGAGGUUUAUUCAUCUUUAAAAUAACCAUACUAAUCUUGACAGACACUGAUUUAUAAAAAUGGGGCAUGAACAGGAAUACAAGAGGUCUGGAGAAAGUGAAAUCAUUUUCUUAAACAGGCUUAUGGAAGCAAAGCUUUCUAGGGUCUAGAGAUACUGGAGUGAAGGAGGGAGUGUGUGAGUGUGUGUGUGUGUUGUGUGUGAGAGAGAGAGAGAGAGAGAGAGAGAGCUUUUUCUCUUUGUUCACUUUUAAGAGCUGGUAUGUUUUCAUUUAUUUUUUUCUUGUAAGGUAUUUUUUUAUUUCUUUAAAACUGUCUUUUUCAUCCCAGGUAGAUAUUGUCAGGAAAACUUGAGGUAAGGCCAAGAAGACAGCCAUUUUACACUUAAUACCUUCUGUAAAUUAUCUUUUUCAUCUUGAUUAUAUAGUGAGUACAUUCUGUUCCUUAAAUUGUAGUUGCUAUUCAUCAUUCUAGACAAAUUCUCUUGGUCCUCUUGUUCUUGCUUUUCAGCAGUGUGCACUUAACUGGUAAUAAAAGAUGGUCCUUCAUAAGCUAGCCAGUUUCAUGUGAGGAAACAAGUAUAAAACCCUUA